UCNAGCGGNCUGGUUAGCUUGCUAACCAGAUAGCGGCGAACGGGUGAGNAANNNNNNGGAAUCUGCCUAGUAGUGGGGGAUAACGUUUCGAAAGGAACGCUAAUACCGCAUACGCCCUACGGGGGAAAGGGGGGGAUCUUCGGACCUCUCGCUAUUAGAUGAGCCCAAGUCGGAUUAGCUAGUUGGUGGGGUAAAGGCUCACCAAGGCGACGAUCCGUAGCUGGUCUGAGAGGAUGAUCAGCCACACUGGAACUGAGACACGGUCCAGACUCCUACGGGAGGCAGCAGUGGGGAAUAUUGGACAAUGGGCGAAAGCCUGAUCCAGCUAUGCCGCGUGUGUGAAGAAGGCCUUCGGGUUGUAAAGCACUUUAAGCGAGGAGGAAUGGCUGAGGGUUAAUAACCUUCAGCAGUGACGUUACUCGCAGAAUAAGCACCGGCUAACUCUGUGCCAGCAGCCGCGGUAAUACAGAGGGUGCAAGCGUUAAUCGGAAUUACUGGGCGUAAAGCGCGCGUAGGCGGUUACGUAAGUUGGAUGUGAAAUCCCCGGGCUCAACCUGGGAAUUGCAUUCAAAACUGCGUGGCUAGAGUGUGGGAGAGGAANGUANAAUUCCAGGUGUAGCGGUGAAAUGCGUANAUAUCUGGAGGAAUACCGAUGGCGAANGCAGCCUUCUGGCCUAACACUGACGCUGAGGUGCGAAAGCAUGGGGAGCAAACAGGAUUANAUACCCCUGGUAGUCCAUGCCGUAAACGAUGUCUACUAGCCGUUGGGGGACCUGAUCCUUUAGUGGCGCAGCUAACGCAUUAAGUAGACCGCCUGGGGAGUACGGUCGCAGANUAAAACUCAAAUGAAUUGA
rnacentral:rRNA from 1 species